GGCAUUUCUAAAUAAAGGUGGAAAUAUUUAAAAUGUUGAUAUAUAUUUUCAAAUUGACUUCCUAUUAUAAUAAUUUACACUUCCACUGACAUGAGAGCGCAUUUUCUCAGCUCUCUGAUAACGAUAAGGCUUAUCAUUAUUUUUACAAUAGGAUAAUGCAGAAGUAGAAUCUAAUUAUUUUAAUAGAUUUUCUUUGAUUACUAGUGAGCUUAAGCAUCCAUUUUUAUGCCCAUUGGCCCUUUGGGCUUUUGUAAAUGCAUGCUCUGGCCCAGUCUGCUCCCCUUCCCCCACUGGUGCUGUUAAUCUUUUCCUUUUUGCUUAGUCAGAGUUCUUUUUCAUUUUUCGUCUUUUACAUAGGGUGAGUCUGAUUCAGGCUUUCAUCCUUUCUUGCCUAACAGACUGCAUUUAUAUUUUUAUAUAUAAUAUAUUCUCCAUUGGUCUUUUAACGUCCUUCUCAGAAGUUGGCUCCUUUUCUCUCUCCCUCCCUCCUUCCCUCUCUUUUCUCUUGUCUUCUCUUUUCUCUUUGUUUCUUUCUCUCUUUAUUUCUCUCUCUCCCUCUCUCUCUCCUUUGAUUUUUUUUUUUCCAGUGCAGAAGUUUUUAAUUUUGAACGAGUCGAAUCUAUCAUUCUGGGCCUGGCGCCGCGUCAGCAGAGGGGGCGGGGAGGCGGCGCGGAACUGGGGGAGGGGCCGGGACGGGGAGGAGCGGGCAUAGCCGUUGCAGGAGUUGCUGGGAGUGCGCGCGGUGCGAUCGCUCGGCGGCGGCGGAGGAGGCCCAGAGCGCAGACACUUCUCCCGCGGCCUACAGAGCCUUCUGCCCAUCGGAGGACCAGGAAACCGCAGUCUUCAUCACAGAGUUGCCCAAGGACUCCAAAGUCUCUGGAAAAGAGCAUCAUGGUACUGGGGACAGGAUGGAACACAUCAAUUUCUUUAAUUCAGGAAUGUUUGACCAUUGGGUGCGCUUUCAGGUCGACUCCCAAGGACUUUUUUAAAGAAGGUUUGCACUGGGUGUUAUAUUCAAAUAAUGAAUCAUUGAACAUUAUAUAAAAAACUAAGGAUGAAC